GACACCUACGGGGGGCAGCAGUGGGGGAUAUUGCACAAUGGGGGGAACCCUGAUGCAGCGACGCCGCGUGGGUGAAGGAGCGUUUCGGCGCGUAAAGCCCUAUCGGCAGGGAAGAAGAUGACGGUACCUGACCAAGAAGCCCCGGCUAACUACGUGCCAGCAGCCGCGGUUAUACGUAGGGGGCAAGCGUUAUCCGGAUUUACUGGGUGUAAAGGGGGCUCAGACGGCAAUGCUAGCCAGGAGUGA
rnacentral:rRNA from 1 species